UCGGUUGAUCCUGCCGAAGGCUACUGCUAUUGGAGUUCGAUUAAGCCAUGCGAGUCUAAGGGAUACUUGUAUCCCUGGCAUAAUGCUCAGUAACACGUGGAUAAUCUGCCCUCAGGUGAGGAAUAAACCCGGGAAACUGGGGCUAAUACCUCAUAGACACAGAAAGCUGGAAUGCUUCUGUGUUCAAAGCUCCGGCGCCUGAGGAUGAGUCUGCGGCCUAUCAGGUUGUAGUCAGGGUCAUGACCUGACUAGCCAACGACGGGUACGGGGUGUGAGAGCACUUGCCCGGAGAUGGUUUCUGAGACACGAAACCAGGCCCUACGGGGCGCAGCAGGCGCGAAAACUUCGCAAUGCGGGAAACCGUGACGAGGGAACUCCAAGUGUCUAUGCAUUGCAUAGACUGUUUUUUAGCCUAAAUAGCUAAAAGAGUAAGAGGUGGGCAAGACCGGUGCCAGCCGCCGCGGUAACACCGGCACCUCGAGUGGUAGCCACUAUUAUUGGGCCUAAAGCGUUCGUAGCCGGUUUGGUAAAUUCUUGGGUAAAUCGUACAGCUUAACUGUGCGGAUUCCGGGGACACUACCAGACUUGAGACCGGGAGAGAUCAGAGGUACUUGUAGGGGAGCGGUGAAAUGUUGUAAUCCUACAGGGACCACCAGUGGCGAAGGCGUCUGAUCAUAACGGCUUUGACGGUGAGGAACGAAACCCUGGGGCGCAAACGGGAUUAGAUACCCCGGUAGUCCAGGGCGUAAACGCUGCUGACUUGGUGUUGGAGAUCCUACGAGGGUGUCCAGUGCUGGCGCGAAGGCAUUUAGUCAGCCGCCUGGGGAGUACGGUCGCAAGACUGAAACUUAAAGGAAUUGGCGGGGGAGCACUGCAACGUGUGGAGCGUGCGGUUUAAUUGGAUUCAACGCCGGA
rnacentral:rRNA from 1 species